rnacentral:rRNA from 1 species
CGUUGUUCGGAUUUACUGGGCGUAAAGGGCGAGUAGGCGGCAUUGAAAGUCAGAUGUGAAAAUCUUCUGCUUACCAGGAGAACUGCAUCUGAAACUCCAGUGCUUGAGUUUGGAAGAAGGGAGUGGAAUUCUCGGUGUAGCGGUGAAAUGUGUAGAUAUCGAGAAGAACACCUGUGGCGAAAGCGGCUCUCUAUUCUAAAACUGACGCUGAGGCGCGAAAGCUAGGGGAGCAAACGGGAUUAGAUACCCCGGUAGUCCUAGCCGUAAACGAUGUACACUUGGUGUUAGGGGAAUCGACCCCUCUAGCGCCGAAGCUAACGCGAUAAGUGUACCGCCUGGGGAGUACGGCCGCAAGGUUAAAACUCAAAGAAAUUGACGGGGGCCCGCACAAGCGGUGGAGCAUGUGGUUUAAUACGACGCAACGCGUAGAACCUUACCAGGGCUUGACAUGUAUUUGACAUCCCAUGAAAGUGGGCUUUCCGCAAGGACAGAUACACAGGUGUUGCAUGGCUGUCGUCAGCUCGUGUCGUGAGAUGUUGGGUUAAGUCCCGCAACGAGCGCAACCCAUGUCCUUAGUUGCCAGCAUUAAUGGUGGGCACUC